UCCCCGGAUCUUCAUGCGACGACGGGUAGCCGGCCUGAGAGGGCGACCGGCCACACUGGGACUGAGACACGGCCCAGACUCCUACGGGAGGCAGCAGUGGGGAAUAUUGCACAAUGGGCGAAAGCCUGAUGCAGCGACGCCGCGUGAGGGAUGACGGCCUUCGGGUUGUAAACCUCUUUCAGCAGGGAAGAAGCGAAAGUGACGGUACCUGCAGAAGAAGCGCCGGCUAACUACGUGCCAGCAGCCGCGGUAAUACGUAGGGCGCAAGCGUUGUCCGGAAUUAUUGGGCGUAAAGAGCUCGUAGGCGGCUUGUCACGUCGGAUGUGAAAGCCCGGGGCUUAACCCCGGGUCUGCAUUCGAUACGGGCUAGCUAGAGUGUGGUAGGGGAGAUCGGAAUUCCUGGUGUAGCGGUGAAAUGCGCAGAUAUCAGGAGGAACACCGGUGGCGAAGGCGGAUCUCUGGGCCAUUACUGACGCUGAGGAGCGAAAGCGUGGGGAGCGAACAGGAUUAGAUACCCUGGUAGUCCACGCCGUAAACGUUGGGAACUAGGUGUUGGCGACAUUCCACGUCGUCGGUGCCGCAGCUAACGCAUUAAGUUCCCCGCCUGGGGAGUACGGA
rnacentral:rRNA from 1 species